rnacentral:rRNA from 1 species
GUGGGGAAUCUUCCGCAAUGGACGAAAGUCUGACGGAGCGACGCCGCGUGAGUGAAGAAGGCCUUCGGGUCGUAAAGCUCUGUCAUCAGGGACGAACGGCCGGUGGAGUGGAAAGCCACCGGAUUGACGGUACCUGAGAAGGAAGCCACGGCUAACUACGUGCCAGCAGCCGCGGUAAUACGUAGGUGGCAAGCGUUGUCCGGAAUUAUUGGGCGUAAAGCGCGCGCAGGUGGGAUCUUAAGUCCAUUUUGAAAGUUCGGAGCUCAACUCCGUGAUGGGAUGGAAACUGGGAUUCUUGAGUACCGGAGAGGAAAGCGGAAUUCCCCGUGUAGCGGUGAAAUGCGUAGAUAUGGGGAGGAACACCAGUGGCGAAGGCGGCUUUCUGGACGGUGUCUGACACUGAGGCGCGAAAGCUAGGGGAGCGAACGGGAUUAGAUACCCGAGUAGCC